UUAGAUAUGCAUGCGUGGAGCAUCACCUACAGAGGGGACAAGGGGUUUCUGGAAAGGCAUUUAUCUCACACAAACCUUGCUUUUCAAAAGAUAUCCGCAAGUUCUGUAAGUUGGCAUAUCCUCUUGUACACUAUGCUCGCAUGUUUGGGUUGGUUGGUUGCUUUGCAAUAUGCUUGCAAAGUUCUUAUACCGGGAAUGACGACUACAUAUUAGAGUUCUUUUUGCCACUUGAUUGUAUUGACGAAGAUGACCAAAAUGCCUUACUGGAGUCUAUAUUAACUCUGAUGAAGCGGUGUUGGACAUGCGUGGAGGGCAGAUUCAUUAAGUUUGGGUUGAUUUCUUCCUUUGCUGUUCCAUCUGGAGGAGGCGUUGGAGAGGAGGCUGUAUAUUUUGGUGUACGUCGCUGAGGGAGAGGAACCCAAGGCCUGCACACGUCGAAAACCACCGAGCGCCUCGACCAACUCGACGACGACCUGCACAUAUUCUGCGUCAAGUUCGUCGGCAGGGACCACCGCCUCCAGGAUAAUGGUUCAGAGAUCGAGGAAGUCCCUCGUGAGAAAGUGAAUUUCUGAGAAGAGCUUUUGAGCAGCACAUCAUUUACUCGCCAAUUAGCGGAUCAGAUGACUUUAGCAAAGGCGUAUGUCAUCCUUGCAAAAGAGCAUGAUAAUCUUCAGCUUUCAUGGGAGCUUAGUUCGCAGAUAAGGAAUUGUCAAAGAUUGCUCUCUGAAGGGGCAGUUAGUGGGAGAGCAAUCACUAAAGAUGAAGCCCAUCCUAUAAUAAGGCGGCUAGCACUGUUAAUAUACAAGGCUCAGGACUCUCACUAUGAUAUCAGCUCAACAAUAGCGACAUUGAAGAACCAUGCCCUGGCACUAGAGGAGCGUGGAUACUUCCAUUUGGGGUAGAGCUUUUGUCGGUCCUUGGGUUUGGAUCGGAGGUGCCACGACUUAGAGAAUGCAGGUAUGCAGUGUUUUUUCGCACCUUCACAUGGCCUUUUAUUUCUAGACAAGAAUUGAGUUUUGAGAUGGUUUUGUUAUGUUAAACUCAGUCCAGUCAAUUGGUUCA